rnacentral:rRNA from 1 species
ACCCUUUAAUGUUUGAUGUUCUAACGUGGACCCGUGAUCCGGGUUGCGGACAGUGUCUGGUGGGUAGUUUGACUGGGGCGGUCUCCUCCUAAAGAGUAACGGAGGAGCACGAAGGUUGGCUAAUCCUGGUCGGACAUCAGGAGGUUAGUGCAAUGGCAUAAGCCAGCUUGACUGCGAGCGUGACGGCGCGAGCAGGUGCGAAAGCAGGUCAUAGUGAUCCGGUGGUUCUGAAUGGAAGGGCCAUCGCUCAACGGAUAAAAGGUACUCCGGGGAUAACAGGCUGAUACCGCCCAAGAGUUCAUAUCGACGGCGGUGUUUGGCACCUCGAUGUCGGCUCAUCACAUCCUGGGGCUGAAGUAGGUCCCAAGGGUAUGGCUGUUCGCCAUUUAAAGUGGUACGCGAGCUGGGUUUAGAACGUCGUGAGACAGUUCGGUCCCUAUCUGCCGUGGGCGCUGGAGAACUGAGGGGGGCUGCUCCUAGUACGAGAGGACCGGAGUGGACGCAUCACUGGUGUUCGGGUUGUCAUGCCAAUGGCACUGCCCGGUAGCUAAAUGCGGAAGAGAUAAGUGCUGAAAGCAUCUAAGCACGAAACUUGCCCCGAGAUGAGUUCUCCCUGAGACUUAAAGUCUCCUGAAGGAACGUUGAAGACGACGACG